AGGACUUCCAGGAACACACCAAAGGAGUUCGGUGCACUGCCUGGGUACCUGCCUAAGUGUGAGCAAGUGAAAUUGGAAAGAAACAGGCACAUGGGCAGCCACAGGGCAUUCGGGCUCUUUUGAAGUGCUGUGGUCUCAGCAAGGGAUGUUAGCCUGUGAGUCGAGCCUUUCUCAGUAAUGUUAAUUAUACAUGCUAGUUAUUUCUGCUAAAACGUGAUUUUAAAGCUCAAAUCUACUUAUGAAAUCAUACUAACACAUGGGAAAUCAUGCUUUCAUGGUCUGCUUUACUUAAAAAUAAGGAAGCAGGAAGGUAAUGUAGGACUGAGCAUUUCUUUAAUGAAACCACGCUUGGUGAUCCCGCCUGACAUGCAGCAUCUCAGGUGCUUAAGACAGAAGAACAGGAAAUCAAAACUAGUCACCACCGGGUGUUCUCUGAGCACAGGCUUUCCUCCUCCCCAUCUCCCAGCAGGAGGCGCAGAGCUCCUGGGAUCACACUGGGCUUCUAUGACCUUUUACAUUCUGUCAGGAUCUUUCAGCACCAGUACAUGGAGUGUACUCAGUAAAGCGUGAGGACCUGCACCCUGAUCCAUCUGGCUUAUUUUUACAUAGAUUCUGGAAAGAGGAGAACAAGGGAAAACAGACUUAGAAUUGGCAUGGGACCAGACACCUUUCACAUCAACAUUUCUAUGUAAGAUAAUGACUAUGGAGGACACUAUGACAGAUAACUGUGUAACAUAAAAUGACAAUGUAAUGAGAA
rnacentral:lncRNA from 1 species